GUUGCUGCAGCUAAGGCUCAAUUUUAACAUAUCUACAACCUAAGAAUCAGGUAUUCCAAUUGUCACUGCAGAGAUGGCAACCACAUGGCAGAAUCCUUGCAAUUAUAAAUUGUAAUGGAUUUCUGCAUCAUCCCUAAUCCCUAGUCCCUGGUUUCUCCAUUAAACGGCCGGAGCCCCAUUCAUCUUGUUGUUUCAUUUUUGAAAGACUACUAGGUCAUAAACUUAGUGCCUGUUUGGCAUUGAGUUUG
rnacentral:misc_RNA from 1 species